CCUGGUGGCUCAGACGGUAAAGCAUCUGCCUACAAUGCAGGAGACCCAGGUUCAAUCCCUGGGUCAGGA
rfam:Ovis aries breed Texel chromosome 3, whole genome shotgun sequence.